rnacentral:rRNA from 1 species
UACAGAGGUCCCGAGCGUUGUUCGGAUUUAUUGGGCGUAAAGGGUGCGUAGGCGGCGGAGUAAGUUGGGUGUGAAAUCCCGGGGCUCAACCUCGGAAUUGCAUUCAAUACUGCUUCGCUCGAGUACUGGAGAGGAGACUGGAAUUUACGGUGUAGCAGUGAAAUGCGUAGAUAUCGUAAGGAAGGCCGGUGGCGAAAGCGAGUCUCUGGACAGUUACUGACGCUGAUGCACGAAGGCCAGGGGAGCAAACGGG